GCGGUUUCUCAUGCCAGGGUGACUCGGAGCUGACACAGGGACGGAUGUUGUACGUGAUAUUCAGAUGGCGGGUUUGACCCUUCGAUCCUCCAGAGCAGCAGGCCGGGGCCCUAGCAGCCAGGGUGGGUAGUCCCUUGCCAUCUCCCCAACCUGUGCUCCUCUGAAGCGCCCACUUCCAGAGCUGCUUACGUGUACAGUGAAGAUCAGGGCCUGCAGCGAGCCUGGCUCUGACCUCUGCUCCCACCCAUGCUCCUGACUCUGGCCCUGCCCAGCUACCACUGGACUGGUAGAGAAAAGAUGAGGAAAAGCGAUUAAGUGCUCGACCCCUGGCGGAUACUGAUUUUAGAAGGAGGAGGCCCCUGAGCUGAUGCACAGAGGAGUUUCUGGAUUCUUAAAAUUGGGCUACUGAAGAAACAGAAGCUUCCGGAUGCAGAGGGAAGCCGAGAGAGCCUCGUCUCUCGAGAGCCGAUGACAUUUUCCCAGGAGAGAGGCCCUCUCUGUGUACACUGUCACGCCGAAAGAUUUGGGUCUCCAUUCUUCGACCUCUACACAUUAAAACCAAGAAAGAAAAAAAAUGAUGCCAGCCGACAGCUGGAUCGGGACAAAAACGCAAAGGGGGAAAGGGAGAGAGUUGGCCUUCUUUUCAAGCCAACCCCUGGAGAAAAGUUUAGUAGUUUCCCCAUACAGAUGGAGUAAUACAAUGCCCAAAUACCCACCACCUCUGCUUCUCCCUCUGCCCCAAGCUCGGACCACUGGCCGCCGUGGCUGUAACUGACCGAGAGAACGGGCACCUCUCUGCAGAUCCUUUUCUUUUCCUUUUAAGUCCUUUUCAAACCUGCAGGUUCAAAAGGUAGUGGCUAGAAUUUAUGCUGAAGUGCAGAAACGGGCUUUGGAGCUGAGCAGUGUCCUAAUGCAGGUGAAAAGCAUGUAUUGAUUACUUAAAGAAAGUUAAAAUAAAAGCAAUUUUUCUCCCCAUUUCA